rnacentral:lncRNA from 1 species
UAAAUAAGUAAAUAUUAUACAAAACAAGAAGCCUGUCUCCAAUUCGCACUAUAUAUAAUCACUUUGUUCAAAAAUGGUUUGAGGUCAUAAGUCGACCUUCCAAAGCGUUCGAAGUAUUCCGGAACUAAAGGAAUCAGGUCUGGAGUCUUUCGGAAGCAUAGGAAUAGUACUGGAAACUCUUGAAGGUGGUGGAACAGUAGCCACGCGCCACCUUAACUCCGGCGGUGGGUUCACGCGCCGCCGCGGGUAAAACCUCGUGGCUCUCGGGCGGAUUUGGUUGCAGCUGGUGUUGCUAUUGGCCAAGAGGGAGAAGGAGAAGAGUUUGAAUUGAUCUUAGUGUGGUGAUCGGUGGGGGUUGACAGAUCGAAAAGAAGAGGAAACCGUAAAGGGGAGAAACCAAAAGAAAGAGGGAGAGGGAUUCUGGUUUUGGCU